AGAGUUUGAUCAUGGCUCAGAUUGAACGCUGGCGGCAGGCUUAACACAUGCAAGUCGAGCGGGGGAAGGUAGCUUGCUACUGGACCUAGCGGCGGACGGGUGAGUAAUGCUUAGGAAUCUGCCUAUUAGUGGGGGACAACAUCUCGAAAGGGAUGCUAAUACCGCAUACGUCCUACGGGAGAAAGCAGGGGAUCUUCGGACCUUGCGCUAAUAGAUGAGCCUAAGUCGGAUUAGCUAGUUGGUGGGGUAAAGGCCUACCAAGGCGACGAUCUGUAGCGGGUCUGAGAGGAUGAUCCGCCACACUGGGACUGAGACACGGCCCAGACUCCUACGGGAGGCAGCAGUGGGGAAUAUUGGACAAUGGGGGGAACCCUGAUCCAGCUAUGCCGCGUGUGUGAAGAAGGCCUUAUGGUUGUAAAGCACUUUAAGCGAGGAGGAGGCUACUUUAGUUAAUACCUAGAGAUAGUGGACGUUACUCGCAGAAUAAGCACCGGCUAACUCUGUGCCAGCAGCCGCGGUAAUACAGAGGGUGCGAGCGUUAAUCGGAUUUACUGGGCGUAAAGCGUGCGUAGGCGGCUUAUUAAGUCGGAUGUGAAAUCCCCGAGCUUAACUUGGGAAUUGCAUUCGAUACUGGUGAGCUAGAGUAUGGGAGAGGAUGGUAGAAUUCCAGGUGUAGCGGUGAAAUGCGUAGAGAUCUGGAGGAAUACCGAUGGCGAAGGCAGCCAUCUGGCCUAAUACUGACGCUGAGGUACGAAAGCAUGGGGAGCAAACAGGAUUAGAUACCCUGGUAGUCCAUGCCGUAAACGAUGUCUACUAGCCGUUGGGGCCUUUGAGGCUUUAGUGGCGCAGCUAACGCGAUAAGUAGACCGCCUGGGGAGUACGGUCGCAAGACUAAAACUCAAAUGAAUUGACGGGGGCCCGCACAAGCGGUGGAGCAUGUGGUUUAAUUCGAUGCAACGCGAAGAACCUUACCUGGCCUUGACAUACUAGAAACUUUCCAGAGAUGGAUUGGUGCCUUCGGGAAUCUAGAUACAGGUGCUGCAUGGCUGUCGUCAGCUCGUGUCGUGAGAUGUUGGGUUAAGUCCCGCAACGAGCGCAACCCUUUUCCUUACUUGCCAGCAUUUCGGAUGGGAACUUUAAGGAUACUGCCAGUGACAAACUGGAGGAAGGCGGGGACGACGUCAAGUCAUCAUGGCCCUUACGGCCAGGGCUACACACGUGCUACAAUG
rnacentral:rRNA from 1 species